rnacentral:lncRNA from 1 species
AAUACAAGUCUUGAGAUAAGAAUAUUAUCUCAGAUUAUCUGAGUGAGCCAAUUUUAGCACACAAGUUCUUAACAGUGGAGAACUCUUCCCACCUGCGUUCAGAGAGGGAGCGAUGUCAUAACAGAAGAAGAAUCACAGAGAUUCUACAUUACUGACAUUGAAGAUGGAGGAAGGAGGUCAAGACCCAAGGAAUGUGGAGACUAUUUAGCAACUGGAAAAGGUUUUAAACAGACAUGGAAAUACAGUGUCUUGGAGUGGAAGGAAUUUCAGUUCAGUCAGAAGAGAAAUGCUAGAGGCACCUGUCUGUUGGAAUGCAUUUAAGAGGGCGGCCACAUUGUGCUGGGUGCUUUCCAGGCUGCAAGCAUCACUAUGCCACAGAAGAGAGAACCAGAUGAAAGAUGAAACUAACACCCAGGCACCAUCAAAUGGACAUGCAAUAUUUACAAAGAUGCUACUCAUUUCCGAGGCUUGA